UGCCAGCCGCCGCGGUAACACGAACCGUACGAACGUUAUUCGGAAUCACUGGGCUUAAAGAGUCCGUAGGCGGCUAUGUAGGUCAGGUGUGAAAUCCCACGGCUCAACCGUGGAACUGCGCUUGAAACCACAUAGCUAGAGGGAGAUAGAGGUGAGCGGAACUGAUGGUGGAGCGGUGAAAUGCGUUGAUAUCAUCAGGAACACCGGUGGCGAAAGCGGCUCACUGGGUCUCUUCUGACGCUGAGGGACGAAAGCGUGGGGAGCGAACAGGAUUAGAUA
rnacentral:rRNA from 1 species